UACGUAGGGGGCAAGCGUUGUCCGGAAUCAUUGGGCGUAAAGCGCGCGUAGGCGGCCCGGUAAGUCCGCUCUGAAAGUCCAGGGCUUAACCCUGGAAAGCGGGUGGAUACUGCCGGGCUAGAAUCCGGAAGAGGCGAGUGGAAUUCCUGGUGUAGCGGUGGAAUGCGCAGAUAUCGUAAGGAAGACCAGUGGCGAAGGCGGGUCUCUGGACAGUUCCUGACGCUGAGGCACGAAGGCCAGGGGAGCAAACGGG
rnacentral:rRNA from 1 species